CCCCCAGGGCUUACUUCAGAGAGUAAGGGGAGCUGUGUGUGUGGGUGACUCCCAGAUCCUGUCAGUCCUCCAGGGAGGACUCCUGCCUGGCCCAGAGGAAGGUCAUAAAUGCAACUGUGGGCACACACGUGGGCCAGGAAACGGGCCUUCAGGAGUGGCCAGGGGAUUAUUCCUUUUGAUCAAUAUGUUCUGGGAUCACGGGUAGCCCCCC